GCAGUCUCCGCGCCAUCAGGAACGUGUGUGUAACAACAUGGUCAUGAGUGGAGUUCUGAGACGAUUCCGUUGAGGGCGGAAUGCAGAAGCACUCGUGCAGCAUCGCAUUCGCUCGGCAAGGAGGGCGAACAGUGAGCUCGAUGGAACGUGGACGUCCGGAUAGGCUGGCUUCCGCAGUGCCAACUUGCACGCAGCAAUUUUUACUUCAGCCUCUAGUAUGGCACCAGGUGCUUCCUCUGCAGAAGGAAACGAUGAUCAGCACUCUAGGAGCAUGGCCAGUUUCAAGCACUUGCACGGCGUAAACUUCUUUGCGGGCGCUCUUCCGAGGAACACCCAGGGAAUGAUCAGGAGUACCGCACUUUGACAGCUGAUUCAAACUCUGCACAGGACGGACAGCGACGGAAAGCCUGUCGAGGACUGCAAAUACUAGACGCCACGUAGCAUCGGAACGCACUACAGGAAAUGCCGCUAGUGGUUGUCUCUCAACGAGACGUUCAGGACUUCCUCCUGCAUAAAUGUUUUCCGUACUUUGCUUGUGGUUGUGUUUCAUGGAAUAAAGUUAUGGACGGAUCAAGAAAAAUAAA